AUGUGGAAGGACUCAGUGCUGAUCAUAGACAACUCUGCUGUUCCUCCUCCUGUUCUGAGCAUCUUCCCUCCGUCCAGUGAAGAGCUGAAGUCUAAUAAAGCCACUCUAGUGUGUGUGGUCAGUGACAUGUCCACUGGUAUUGCUGAUGUUCUUUGGCUGCUGGACGGAAAGGCGGUCAGCAGUGGAGUGAGCACUGGCUCUGCAGAGCAGCAGCCCAAUAAGAAGUUCAGACUGAGCAGCUAUUUGAGCAUUGAGAGAUCAGAGUGGGAGAAAGAUAAAGACAUAACAUGUGAAGUGUCUGCUGCUGCCUCAAAAACUACAAGUAAAAGCAUGAAGAAGUCUGAAUGCAUGGACUGA